GUUACAGUGAUUCAGUUGCAUCGAAAAUACGCAACCACUCUAUUAGCAAAGAGUUGCUCCAGAAUAAGGAUGGGGUUGUGCCCAAUUACUGUUAGAUGAGGGAUCCAAUGAUGGCCUUGUACCUACUUGUGAACGGUGGGUCGGGCUUAACUUCUUAGUGUGGGCAAUAACUAUUAGAUGAGCCCACAUGACUUAGAGAUCAAGUCGUCGCAACAUGCUUAGUGAAGUA
rnacentral:lncRNA from 1 species